rnacentral:lncRNA from 1 species
CGCACUUGCAGCCACCCUGGGCAGGCAGUGGAAGGUGGGGCCGCGCUGCCUCUGGUGCGCAGAGGCAGAGGCCGCCAUUGACCACCGAAUCGGCUUGGCUAGAACUCAAAGCCUUGUGCCUGGCUGUCAGUCCCUACCUCACCACGUUGACACAGACUGUGUGGCUUUCAGUGUACCUUUCCACGUAUUUUCCUGUCCAGUCAGAUGAGGAGAGGGAACAGUCUGAGAGAACCACGAAACUGCCAAACCCAGUGGGCCCGAAUAUUCCUUCAAGAUUUCAAGAAAGCCGACCUUGAGGACGGCCACGGGGCCAACUGCAGUAUGGACAAGUCGUUCUUGUAGUUGCACAGAUGGCCAUUGACAAAAACAGCCCUGCUUGGGUGACUCCUGAGCCCUGAUACCCGAAUGAGUAUGAUCAAGCGGUGAUGGACCUGGAUCCGGCUGUGGGAGUGUCCUGAUGAGCCCUGGGCCAGCGGAGCAAAAUCCCCCUAUUCUGCUGAAUUUAAUGGAGCAGAGGAGCUGAGUGUUUGGGAAUAUGAAGCACCUGAAGCCAUGAGAACCACAAAGGCUGAAGAUUGCACCUGCUACCCACAUCAGUCAAAUAGCACUGAUUCCAUAG